GCUCCCGUAGCUCAACCUGGACAGAGCAUUUCCGUCCUAAGGAAAGGGUUGUGGGUUCGAAUCCCAUCGGGAGCG
rnacentral:tRNA from 1 species